rnacentral:rRNA from 1 species
CAGCCGCCGCGGGAAUACGUAGGUCCCGAGCGUUGUCCGGAUUUAUUGGGCGUAAAGCGAGCGCAGGCGGUUAGAUAAGUCUGAAGUUAAAGGCUGUGGCUUAACCAUAGUACGCUUUGGAAACUGUUUAACUUGAGUGCAAGAGGGGAGAGUGGAAUUCCAUGUGUAGCGGUGAAAUGCGUAGAUAUAUGGAGGAACACCGGUGGCGAAAGCGGCUCUCUGGCUUGUAACUGACGCUGAGGCUCGAAAGCGUGGGGCGCAAACAGGAUUAGAUACCCCCGUAGUCCCUGUCUCUUAUACA